ACGAGCGUAGCUCAAUUGGUAGAGCACCGGUCUCCAAACCGGCGGUUGGGGGUUCGAUUCCCUCCGCUCGUG
rnacentral:tRNA from 1 species